UACGUAGGGACCGAGCGUUGUCCGGAAUCAUUGGGCGUAAAGAGCGUGUAGGCGGCCUUUUAAGUCCUGCGUGAAAUCCUGCGGCUCAACCGCAGACGGUCGUGGGAAACUGGAAGGCUAGAGUGCGGGAGAGGAGAGUGGAAUUCCCGGUGUAGCGGUGAAAUGCGCAGAUAUCGGGAAGAACACCCGUGGCGAAGGCGGCUCUCUGGAACCCAACUGACGCUGAGACGCGAAAGCGUGGGGAGCAAACAGG
rnacentral:rRNA from 1 species